GGGAAGUUCGUGCGCGCAGCCGCGGUAAAACGGGUGGUGCAUGCCGUACUCGGAAUUUCUGGGCGUCAAGUGCACGCAGGCGGUAUGUAAAGUAGGGUGUGAAAUCACCGGGCUCAACCUGGGAACUGCUUUCGAAACUGGCAGGCUGGAGUCUUGUAGAGGGGGGUAGAAUUCCAGGUGUAGGGGUGAAAUGCGUAGAGAUCUGGAGGAAUACCGGGGGCGAAGGCGGCCCCCUGGACAAAGACUGACGCUCAGGUGCGAAAGCGUGGGGAGCAAACAGGAUUAGAUACCCGAGUAGUC
rnacentral:rRNA from 1 species